AACCGGCGAACUCGAGCAGGAAAAAGCAGCAGAAGACCAGAAAAUCUCUUGCCGCACACCGCGUCCGCGACCGUGACCUCCCUGUCCGACGAGCGCUCUACGAUGGCAUCUCAGGAUUCCAAGCCCGCGCAAGUCCCGGCCGCCGCCGAGCUGACGGCCCCGCCGGCUGCUGCCGCAGGGGAGGCGACGAAUCCCACUUCCCCGACAGCAGCCCAAAACCCUAGCCCUGCCGCGGCCGCCGCCGCCGGUGGGGCAGCCACGGAUCUAGAGAAGAAGAUGCGCCGCGCGGAGCGGUUUGGGACGCAGGUGGUGAUGUCCGAGGACGAGAAGCGAAGCAGCCGCGCCGAGAGGUUUGGGACCGGAUCUUCCAAUGAAAAGAUGGAGGAGCAGAAGAAGAAGUCCAGGGCUGAGAGGUUUGGCCUUCCCACGCCCUCCUCUGAUGAUACCGAGGCUAAGAAAAAAGCCCGCUUAGAGCGAUUUGGUCAGAGCACAGAAGUUGGCAAGGCGGAAGAAGAGAAGCGAAAGGCACGGGCCCUUAGGUUUGCAGGAGCACCUAGUGGGUCAUCUGAAGGAAAGGACAAAGACACCUCCAAGCCGGUAUGUCCUCCACUCUAUGGCAUGUUUUUGUGUAGAACUUGUGCUUCAUGUUUGUUGUUGUAAUUCGUUUGUCUUCCUCCUGCCCUCUGUAUAAAUGUGUAACACAGGAUGCGGCUACCAUAGCUGGCACGGCAUGAUGGAAAACAGUCCCUGCCUUUUUGAGGGUCGUCUCAUAUACGCCCCUCGAGACGUCGGUGAAGCCGUAGUUUGUACAAGACUAACAACGCCAAUGGCGUCGAUGCUGUCGGAGCCAUUCGUGUGCUGUUUACUGUGUAGCGCUUGAUGACUUCUUGCUGUACUCCGCUGGGAGCCAUUUGAGUGCUGUUUACCGUGUAGCACUCGAGGACUUCCUUGCUGUACUCGUUGGCAUAGUCUGUUUGCUGCUCGGUCUGGGGACACCUGUGUACUACAGUACUUCGUUUCCCUUUGUAGUGAUACUACUUAUUAGCCAUGUACUCGUGUCUGUUUAGUUUCUGUGCUUGUAUUGUUCGUUUCA